rnacentral:rRNA from 1 species
UUCCUACGGGAGGCAGCAGUGGGGGAUAUUGCACAAUGGGGGAAACCCUGAUGCAGCGACGCCGCGUGAGUGAAGAAGUAAUUCGUUACGUAAAGCUCUAUCAGCAGGGAAGAAAAUGACGGUACCUGACUAAGAAGCCCCGGCUAACUACGUGCCAGCAGCCGCGGUAAUACGUAGGGGGCAAGCGUUAUCCGGAUUUACUGGGUGUAAAGGGAGCGUAGACGGCAGUGCAAGUCUGAAGUGAAAGGCAAGGGCUCAACCCUUGGACUGCUCUGGAAACUGUGCUGCUCGAGUGUCGGAGAGGG